AAGUAUUAAAGCUCAGUUAUAUGAUUUGUAGAGCAUUGCUAAAUAAAUUACAUUUAAAGUUAACUAAUAAAAAUUAAAAUUGCACAGAAUCUUUACAAAAAAUGUGAAAUGAAAUGUGAAUUCAAGUUCGUAUUUUUGUAUUUUUUUUGUUUUUGAUGUUUUCACUGAAAUAAGUUAUUAUACAUCAUAUACAGUAAGUAUGUAUAUAUGCAUACGUAAUAUAUUUUUAUUAUAUUUAUUAAUAUUGUUGUUGUUGCUUUUUUUUCUUUUAUUAUAUUAUUUGCUCAGACUACUAUAGACUAUGAAUUUAUAUGUAUGCAUGUAUGUAUAGAUCUUCCAAUUUUUUAUUAAUGCGCCUAUUUGUUUUGUCGUUGGUGUAUGCCUGUUCUGUGUGUGUGUGUGUGUCUGUGUGUAGAAAAUAAUGAAAAUGUCCUUCAAACAAUGUGAUGUGUGCUUUCUUUUCAAAACUUGUUUUUAUUAAUUUGUUAAUUAUUUUUUAAUAUUUAUGACUUUUUGACGCAACAACUGAGUAAAGUUAAUUUAUUACAAAACAUACAUUGUAUAUUUUUGAUAAAAAUAAAUGUAUUUCUUUUUUUAACAACAGAAUUUGAAAGGCUUGGCGUCUAAAAAUAAAUUAACAAAGAGUACAGAAAUUAAAAUAAUAAUUUAAAUGAUUGUUUUUCGUUAAGCCUAUUAUUUAACAGAAGGCUUCGCUGCUCCACAUAGUAAACCCUUAAGAUCUUUUAAACUUUUAGAGAAAUUUGUUUGUUAACGAAAUGAUAAACAAUAAAUAUAUAUAAAUUGAUCUUUACUCAAAUAUAUAUGUAUAUAACGUUUUUGUUUUUUGAUUUUUUUUUUGCUUUGUUUUUUUUCUUUUAAAUUAUUAAACUUAAUUGGCGCUUAUUUUUCCGUUCUCUCUUUUUCUUUCUCCUUUUUGCACAUUUUCUUGGUAUCUUUUUGUUUGUGUUUUAUAUAAGUGUAUAAUAUUAAAUAUUUUUUGUUGUUCAAUUAAUGCUACGAUUUUACGCUUUUUUACACACAAAUUUCAUUUUGUUUUUGUUUUUGUUUUUACUUGCGACUUAAAUGUAAACAUUUAGAUUUUUUUGUUGCUGCAUUUUUGCUGUUGUUUUUUUUUUAUAAUAUAUAUUUAUACCAUAUAUUAUGUUUUAUAUGUUUUGUAUGCUUUGUAUGUUCUCCAUGUUAAUAUUUAUUAUUUAUUUUAGAAUUUGAGUAGUUCAUGUGGUUCUUUCUGGCGCAUUUUUGCCCUAGAUCCUGCGAGCGAUACGUGGAUUUGCCACGUAUAACUUUCUAAUAUGUAUGUUGUAAAUAUGUGUGUUUGUAUGUAUGUAUAUGUAUGUUCGGUGAGUGCGCUUACUUUUAGGUGCCACUGUUGAUGAGCAUGUAUGUGUGUGUGUCUAUUGGAUGUUGAUUAAAUUUCGGCUGUUUUCUCUUUAUCUUUAUCUUUACCUUUCAUUCUUUUUGUGUGUGUUGUUCUUUUGUAUUGUAGAUGUUAUUUGUGUUUUUGUUUUUGGUUUUAUUGUUGCACGUCGUCGCUGAUUGUACAACAUUUAUAGUACAUAUGUAUCCGUAUGUCUAGAACGCCUACAACAUCGAGAGCUAAAUGUAAGCUCAGUAAGUAGCAGAGGGGCGGGAGGGGCAGGAGGCAUCGGCCAGAGGGCACAUAAGAAUUUCAGCGUUUGUUUUUUUUUUCGUAUUUCUUUUGUUUUGUAUACUUUGGAGCGCCUUAUGCAACACUAA